GUUUAGGUAGCUUAAAUUAAAGCUUAACAUUGAAAAUGUUACUAUACAAUUUUUUUUUGUCUUAAACA
rnacentral:tRNA from 1 species